rnacentral:rRNA from 1 species
CCUACGGGAGGCAGCAGUGGGGAAUAUUGCACAAUUGGGGAAACCCUGAUGCAGCGACGCCGCGUGAGUGAAGAAGUAUUUCGGUACGUAAAGCUCUAUCAGCAGGGAAGAAAAUGACGGUACCUGACUAAGAAGCCCCGGCUAACUACGUGCCAGCAGCCGCGGUAAUACGUAGGGGGCAAGCGUUAUCCGGAUUUACUGGGGGUAAAGGGAGCGUAGACGGCAGCGCAAGUCUGGAGUGAAAUCCCAUGGCUUAACCAUGGAACUGCUUUGGAAACUGUGCAGCUAGAGUGCAGGAGAGGUAAGCGGAAUUCCUGGUGUAGCGGUGAAAUGCGUAGAUAUUAGGAGGAACACCAGUGGCGAAGGCGGCUUACUGGACUGUAACUGACGUUGAGGCUCGAAAGCGUGGGGAGCAAACAGGAUUAGAUACCCUAGUAGUC